AGUUUAAAAAUGGGACGUCGCUCCUCGGACACAGAAGAAGAGAACAGAAGCAGAAGGAAAAAGAAACACCGCAGGCGUUCGUCUUCGAGUAGCUCCUCAGACAGUAGAACGUACAACCGUAAAAAAUCUGGAAGGAAAUCAAGGUCAAGAUCACGGUCUCGAGAUCUCCAGUCUCGUUCACAUUCUUAUGAGAAAAGACGCAGACACAGAUCAAGCAGUAGUUCUUCAUAUGGUUCUAGAAGAAAACGCAGUCGUAGCCGAUCGAGGGGCAGAGGCAAAUCCUACAGGUCUCAAAGAUCGAGAUCAAAAAGUAGAACAAGAAGAUCACGAUCAAGACCUCGUCAACGUUCUUAUAGUCGAAGUAGUGAAAGAUCCAGUCAUAGGAGAACUCAUAGCGGGUCUCGUGAAAGAGAGCGGCGUAAAGGCAGAGAGAAAGAAAAAAUAAAAGAGAAGGGCAAAGGAAAAGAAAAGGAGAUAUGUGGCACGAAGCAUGGGU